AAUGAAGUAAUAGGAAGAUUGUCUGUCCUGGUUGGCCAGGAACGGAGAAGCCGGUCACAGAGUGUUCCUGAAAGGUGGAGAAUGAACUGAAAAUAACUUGCAAGGGACAGCCCAAAACAUAGGUGAGUGGAUUUUCCUGCCCACACAGAUAAGCCACAACUUAUGAGCAAAGUUGAGUCCAAAAUUUCUGUUGCUAAGUGAGACCGA
rnacentral:lncRNA from 1 species